UCACGAUUUAUGACACUCACAAUGGAUAAAUUUCUCAACGAUAUGGAAAGAGAGAAGCCAAUCAAAUUUACCUCUCAGCAGCUCAGAAUUGCAACAGACAACUUCACUAAUUUUUUGGGUUCAGGAGGAUUUGGAUCAGUCUAUUACUCCACAAAACCCAACAUCUAUAAGGAAAUCUUUAGUAAUGGAUCUGUAGUGGCAGUGAAAGUUCUAUAUGGGAAUUCUGAUAAGAGAAUUGAGGAUCAAUUCAAGGCAGAAGUGAGUACAAUAUUAAGGGUUCGUCACUUUAAUCUGGUACGUCUUUAUGGUUUCUAUUUUGAGAAGAACCUGAGAGCGCUUGUUUAUGAGUACAUGGGAAACGGCUCGCUUGACAAGUACUUGUUUGGUGAAAACAAGAUCUUAGGAUUUGAAAAGCUUCAUGAGAUUGCAGUUGGGACAGCUAUAGGGAUUGCUUACUUGCAUGAAGAAUGUCAACAAUGAAUAAUCCAUUAUGAUAUUAAACCAGAAAAUAUUCUUUUGGAUGCAAACUUCUUGCCUAAGGUAGCUGAUUUAGGUUUGGCAAAGCUAUCUAACAGGGAAAAUACACAUAUCACCAUGACAGGAGGAAGGGGGACACCUGGUUAUGCUGCACCAGAAAUGUGGAUGCCAUAUCCUAUAACCCAAAAGUGUGAUGUUUAUAGCUUUGGGAUGCUAUUAUUUGAAAUCAUAGGGAAGAGAAAGAACCUCGAUGGUAGUCUUCCAGAGAGUCAAGUGGUUCCCAAUGUUAGUUUGGAAAAAGUUCGAACAUGGAGAAUCGGGAGAGUUGAGUAUAGUUUGUGGGAUAGAGGAGGAACAUAGAGAGACAGCAGAGAGAAUGAUGAGGGUAGCUUUCUGGUGUGUUCAAUAUAGGCCUGAAUCAAGACCUCUGAUGAGUGUUGUGGUAAAGAUGUUGGAAGGAGCGGUAGAGAUUCCUACACCUUUAAACCCAUUCCACCACUUGUUGGUUGCUAAUCCUUGGGAUAAUGCAAAUUCCCAUCCAACACAGACUGAUAGCACUUUUAAUUCAGAAUACUCCUCUCAAAUGACCUAUGUAGGCGCUACUCCCGUGAUGAGGAAAUAUGAAAUUGAAAUAGGCUUUAUCUAGGUGAGCUGAAGGGCAUCACUACCGAGUCUGAGUGUCACCAAUUUUUACAUAAGUACAUGAUUCAAGGAUACCAUUUCUCUGUUUAUACAGAAAUGCAUAAUGUGCCAUUUGAAUUUGAUUACUUAUUUACUUGUAAUCUCUAGACCCUGUUAAGAUAAA